rnacentral:rRNA from 1 species
UACGUAGGGCGCGAGCGUUGUCCGGAAUUAUUGGGCGUAAAGAGCUCGUAGGCGGCUUGUUGCGUCUGCUGUGAAAUCCCGGGGCUUAACCCCGGGCGUGCAGUGGAUACGGGCAGGCUGGAGGCAGGCAGGGGAGAAUGGAAUUCCCGGUGUAGCGGUGAAAUGCGCAGAUAUCGGGAGGAACACCGGUGGCGAAGGCGGUUCUCUGGGCCUGUUCUGACGCUGAGGAGCGAAAGCGUAGGGAGCGAACAGG